AUGAAGAUCAUUCGAGGAGCAAUGUCAUCUCCUCUCUGUCUCUGUGCAGUGGUUUGCCUCAUGGCUCAGAUAGGAGCUGCCAAUGUAGUUCUGAUGGGGAAUAAUCUUACUUUGUCGUUCGACGACGUUGAGGCGAACUUUUCUCCGGCAGUAAAAGGGUCAGGCGUUAAUGGCUUAGUUUAUACUGCUGAACCUUUGAAUGCCUGCAGUGCAUUGACAAGCAAGGCAGUCGAGGGUCCACCGUCUCCGUUUGCACUGGUUAUAAGAGGUGGCUGCACAUUUGAUGAGAAAGUGAAAAACGUGCAGGAUGCUGGAUUCAAAGCUGCAAUAGUGUAUGACAAUGAAAACAGUGGAGUUCUUGUUUCAAGUGUAACAGUGGCUGGAAGCUCAAGCGGUAUUCAGAUAUAUGCUGUGUUCAUCUCAAAGUUCUCAGGGGAGGUGCUGAAGAAAUUUUCAGGCCGUACUGAUGUGGAGGUGUGGAUAAUACCGACAUUCGAGAACUCAGCCUGGUCGAUCAUGGCGAUUUCAUUCAUUUCACUGCUCGCCAUGUCUGCUGUUUUAGCUACCUGUUUCUUUGUGAGAAGACAUCGAAUAAGGCGGGACCGGCCUAGAAAUCUAGAAGCCCGAGAAUUCCAUGGGAUGAGCAGUCAAUUAGUUAAGGCGAUGCCAAGCCUUAUUUUCACCAAAGUGCAAGAGGACAACUGCACGUCGUCGAUGUGUGCCAUUUGUUUGGAGGAUUACACUGUCGGAGAACAAAUAAGAGUGCUGCCUUGCCGUCACAAGUUCCAUGCAGCUUGUGUGGACAUGUGGCUCACAUCCUGGAGAUCAUUCUGCCCCGUAUGCAAGCGAGAUGCAGGUGCUGGAAUGACAGGCCCUCCUGCCUCGGAGACCACCCCAUUGUUUGCUUCCGCAGUUCACUUGCCUUCUCCAUCAUCCUCAUUCCGAUCAAGCGUGGGAGCAUCCCCUCCCAGACCAAUAAGCCGGCGACCUUCAUCGCAGUCCAUAUCUCGAAUCUACUCUGCUUCCGGCACCCCGCACUCUCUGAACACCCAAAGACCAUACAGGAACUCAUCAGCCAUGAGCAUAAGCAGAAGCAGCGCAGACCUCGCAAACAUGUCUUCGCCCUACCUCCGCACCUCACUCCUCCGCGGAGGUUCAACACACUCCCUGGUCGGUAACCACCUGUCUCCACCAGUCAACAUAAGUUAUGCUUAUGCCCCACCGCAGAUGUACAAUUCCGGCUAUGGGUCGCCCAGCGCGCAUGCCGGUUCUUCAUACAUCUCCAAUUCGGGAUAUGGAUCGUCGUCGGGCUACUACCUGGGCUCAUCCAGCCAGCAUCGGUCUUCGGCGUACCUGAGACGCUGCGGGGAGUCCGGGCCGAGCCUGUCUACCAUGGCCCCUCAGUCGCCACAGCAGCAGCAGUCCCACUCACAGCGGCUGCGCCAUGGCGGCGACUCAGACGCGAGCCUGAACCUGGCGGGCGCGUCGUCGGCCCAGUCCUUCCGGCAGUCCUACCUGCGGCACUGCGGCGACUCGGACGCGAGCCUGUCCGCCAUGGCUUCUUCGGGGCAGUCGCUACCGGGAUGUUGA
rnacentral:rRNA from 1 species